rnacentral:rRNA from 1 species
CCUACGGGAGGCAGCAGUGAGCUAUAUUGGUCAAUGGGUGCAAGCCUGAACCAGCCAUCCCGCGUGAAGGACGACUGCCCUAUGGGUUGUAAACUUCUUUUGUAUAGGGAUAAACCUACCCUCGUGAGGGUAGCUGAAGGUACUAUACGAAUAAGCACCGGCUAACUUA